UUUAGGUUAGCAUAAUUUGUGUACUAAAUUUAGGAUUUAGAGGUAUAUAUUUACCUAAAA
rnacentral:tRNA from 1 species